AACGAGCGCUGGCGGCAGGCUUAACACAUGCAAGUCGAGCGCCCCGCAAGGGGGGCGGCAGACGGGUGAGUAACGCGUGGGAAUCUACCCAUCUCUACGGAAUAACGCAUGGAAACGUGUGCUAAUACCGUAUACGUCCUUCGGGAGAAAGAUUUAACGGAGAUGGAUGAGCCCGCGUUGGAUUAGCUAGUUGGUGGGGUAAAGGCCUACCAAGGCGACGAUCCAUAGCUGGUCUGAGAGGAUGAUCAGCCACACAGGGACUGAGACACGGCCCAGACUCCUACGGGAGGCAGCAGUGGGGAAUAUUGGACAAUGGGCGCAAGCCUGAUCCAGCCAUGCCGCGUGAGUGAUGAAGGCCCUAGGGUUGUAAAGCUCUUUCACCGGUGAAGAUAAUGACGGUAACCGGAGAAGAAGCCCCGGCUAACUUCGUGCCAGCCGCCGCGGUAAGAC
rnacentral:rRNA from 1 species